CAUUUAAUCUUACCACUUCUCUAGAACAACAAACUUUCAUCCAUGGAUUCUUUACCGGUGAAUUGGGAGGCACUAGACUCUCUGAUUAUCGAUUUCGUCAAAUCGGAAAACCUAAUCGAAGACUCAGGUUCUCCUUCAACUUCGCCGUCGACGUCUCUAUCGCCGUCUUCGUCAACCUCAUCUUCAUCUUCUUCCUCUUAUCAGUCAAGAUUACUUAUUCGGCAGAUCAGACGUUCAGUGGAGUUUGGUGACAUUGAUGCCGCUAUCGAUCUCUUGCGUCUGCAUGCGCCUUUUGUUCUUGAUGAUCAUCGUCUUCUCUUCUGCUUACAGAAGCAGAGGUUUAUUGAGCUUUUGAGGAAAGGAACUGCAGAGGACCGAGAAUCUGCCAUUAAUUGCCUCCGAGAGUCACUGGCACCUUGUGCGUUGGAUGCAUAUCCAGAAGCAUAUGAGGAAUUUAAGCAUAUUCUUCUUGCCUUGGUUUAUGACGAAGAAGAUAAGAAUUCUCCAGUGGUGAGUGAGUGGUCUCCAAGGAGGAGGAUUGACAUUGCUGGACUGCUGUCAUCUGUUUUAAGGGCUCAUUUAUGUGCAUAUGAUCCUCUUUUUGCAAUGUCAUUGAGGUACUUGAUAAGCAUACACAAGUUGUUUUGCUUUCGUCAGGGAGUUCCAUCACCUAUAUCAGAUCUUACACAGAGAUUACUUCUUGAGGACCGUGACCCCCCUGCAACACCACUUGAGAGUUCCUAUGAAGCACCUCCGUUUGAUGAGGUGGACAUACAAGCUCUUGCUCAUGCGGUAGAGCUUACAAGGCAGGGGGCUAUUGAUAGCUUGAGAUUUGCCAAGGGUGACUUAUAUCAAGCAUUUCAGAAUGAGCUGUGCCGAAUAAGAUUGGAUGACCCCAUGUUUGAUGAGCUUGUUCAUGAGUAUUGUGUCUAUAGGGGUUUUGUCAACUUCAGUGUGGUAGAUUCUCCUGGGAUGCAACUUAGUAUCAAUGACGAUCAAUCAGAGUCUGGACAAUUAUCAAAGAACUGUUCCACAGAAGUUGGGGACGGAAACACUAAACUUUCUGGCAGUGACACGUCUGCUUCUCAAGUUAUCAUGGAGGGAUCACCUGAAAGUAAUACCAACUUGGCUAGCAUUCAAAGUACUGAUACUGAAGAGCGUUACCCUAGUGAAGCAAGUUAUGGAGAUUGCAGUACCAGUGGGACUCCUCAGUUUGAAAAAGUUCUGCAGAAAAAUAAGUGUCUUAGAGUUGGCGAAACAAACAAGCGGAAAAGGUGGAGGGGGAGACAUGAAAACACCGAAUUUGUGUCUGGACCUACCAGUGAAAGGAGCAGAGAAGAUCUUAAUGCCGAUACGACAAUGUUGAAAGAUCAGCAGGUUUCUCCAAAAUCGUGCUUCCUGAAUAUGAUGAAGAAUAGAGAGGACAAGCAUGAACUUGUGCUGGGCUUGAAGGAAUUAGCUAGCAGAGGAAUGACAGAGGACGUUGUUGAGGAGAUUAAUGAGAUGGAUUCAAACUUUUUUGUGCAGAACCCUUCUCUGCUUUUUCAACUUAAGCAGGUUGAAUUUUUGAAGCUGGUUGGCUCUGGGGAUCAUACUCAAGCACUGAGGGUAGCCUGUUCUUUUCUGGGUCCUUUGGCUUCUGGUCAUCCUGAUCUGUUGAAGCCAUUGAAGGAGACUUUGCUAGCUUUACUCAAACCUAAUGAAGAGGCAUUUAAUGAUCGCUUGCCCUUAUGUGUUCUUGCCAAUACACUCCAGGUUGCUAUUGGUAGGAGGCUUGGUAUUGAAGAACCCCAGCUUAUGAAGAUCAUAAGGGCCACACUGUAUACACACAGUGAGUGGUUCAAACUUCAAAUGUGUAAAGAUCGAUUUGAAGGGCUCUUAAGGAUCGACGCCCUGAAGGAAGUUGGUGCCAAAUUGAUUAUAGAUGCUUCCAGAUUGGAUGUUGACAUGAGCACUGAUGGAUCAUCUCAAGUUACUGGUUCCUCAAAUAAUAGGAAACAGGAAGAUGGAAGUUCAACCCAGUCAUCGGCCAGAGAUGUUGGAUGUGAUGAAACUGCAAUACUAAAAGUUAUGGAAUUUCUGGCAUUGCCCCGAGCGGAUGCAAUUCACCUCCUUGCACAGUACAACGGGAAUGCAGAGACGGUCAUUCAGCAGAUAUUUGCAUAGCCCCUAGAUUAUAGCUGAACAUGCGUCUACAUUAGUCAACUUAACUUUGCUGUAGGAGUCUUUGAAGUUGCAAAUCGAGUUGAACAUAUAUAGGGAAGUAUUGCCAUAUUGCUUCAUUGACUGAUACACAGAAUGAUAUGCUACUAAAGAUCCACCAAUACUAUAAAGAUAAAAAGGAUUGGGCAAAGAUCGAACGGAAAUACUCAACACAUUCAGGCCGUAGCAACAAAGUGGAUGACAAAAUAACAAUACAAUGCCAUUUAGACUAACCGACUAGCGGCAUUGGACUUGCUGAAUUUUAUCUCGUCUGAUAUAGUUAUUUAUUGUUUUUAAUUUUUCAAAAAAGAAUAUCAACACACGAGCCGCAUUUCGAUGUAAAUCAAUCAAAACUCAAAAGAAAACAGAAAUAAACAUGGAAAUUUACCUUUUCCCUUUCA